rfam:Canis lupus familiaris chromosome X, whole genome shotgun sequence.
ACAGAGGGUUUUUUUAAAGCCACCAAUAUUAAAUAUAUAGAUAUGU